GCACCCGCACAAGCGGUGGAGCAUGCCGUUUAAUUCGACGCUACGCGAAGAACCUUACCUAGACUUGACAUCCCCGGCAAAGCUAUAGAAAUAUAGUGGAGGUUAUCCGGGUGACAGGUGAUGCAUGGUUGUCGUCAGCUCGUGUCGUGAGAUGUUUGGUUAAGUCCAAUAACGAGCGCAACCCUCGUCUUUAGUUGCUAACAUUAAGUUGAGAACUCUAAAGAUACUGCCAGAGCAAUCUGGAGGAAGAUGGGGAUGAUGUCAAAUCAUCAUGUCCCUUACGUCUAGGGCUACAGGCGUGCUACAAUGGCCGAUACAACGAGUCGCAACACAGUGAUGUGAAGCUAAUCUCUUAAAGUCGGUCCCAGUUCGGAUUGAAGUCUGCAACUCGACUUCAUGAAGUUGGAAUCGCUAGUAAUCCCAAAUCAGCAAUGUUGGGGUGAAUACGUUCCCGGGUGUU
rnacentral:rRNA from 1 species